CUAUAGUGGGCUAAAGCCCCCAUCCUCCGGAGAGCUUCGGGCUGGCCCUGUCCAUGGGACAUUCAGACGGGAUUCUAUUAGUGCCGACACCAGCAGACUGGAUGCUGCGCUUAUUCCCGAAACCUGCGCGUCCACCUGCCAGCGACCCCGCCGGAGCAGGCGUCUGAUCUGGGAGUUCUCCAUCCACAGUGUCUCCCUCCUAUCCGCCUGUUUGUGACGCCUGGCCGCUGCCGGGCUGCGGGACAGAAUGAGGAUUGGCCUCUGUGUCAUCCCGCAGCCCGAACCUGCCUGCUUGGGGCUAUUUGGCCUUAGUGUGUUAGCUAGCAGAGAGAUUUGGUUCUGACCAGAAGCCCUUGGAUCGUGUCGGCAUGCUAACAGAUUUCAUGAACCACAACCGUGAGGUGUCCCUCGGCUCGACUGGAACAAUGCGAAAGGAAGUGCGGCGGCGGAUCGACAGGGUUUCCGAAAACUACGAGCAGGAAAUACCCCACAGGGCGUCUGCUGGUGUCUGUCAGCUCCAGGAAAAGAUGAGUUUACAAAUGCUACUCUAGGAUACUACCUGCGGUUUAUGAUUCAGCACUGGAAAUACGAGCUGACACCAGACACAGCAAAAUCGGAAUGGUGAUGCUGUCACCGGGACUGGGAUUUACUGGCGCCCCGGCAGCUCCAGUGGAAAACACGGAGACAUGAUAUGCACAAGAAAAAGAGGAAACGCAGCUUUGGCUUCUUUAAACCCUUUGUUUUUUAAAGGGAGUCCGCAACAGGCUUCAAUAAACAGCUUUCACAGAGAUCUGGACCGUUGACACAGCUGUGAGCUGCUGCUGCUGCCUUAUUCACCAGCUGUUUCCACAUAGUCGUUUUUCUGUGGGAACAUCCAGGUGGAUUGCUGUGUUUCAUUGUAACAGACGGCCCUGCCUGCCAUAGUGUGGAGGACAAGCAGCCCACAGCAGGCUCCUUUAUACUAGACUGCAGCAGCUGGUGGCUAUCCAGUCCUCUUCAGACCUUUAGGCUCCAUGUGAGGAGGCCUGAUGCUGGGCCCCGCUGUCAGACACCAACUCUGUCUACAUCUCAUCCAGUGAGCUUUGUCGCCUCCUCCCACCGACAUCAAGCCAGAGGUAUUGGGCUGCUGUUGCUACCCAGUUCCUGACAGUGACUCUGCCCUCCGCCGCCAACCAACUUCCAGCUUCACAAAGCCCCUCCUUCAAGACACACAGCCUCUCUCACAGUUCCCCUCAGCUCCCAGCCUGUGGAGCUAUGAGGGCUGCAACUCCAAAAAAAUGAUCAAAUAAAAACACUUCCUGGAAGUGUAGUUGGUUUUAUA